rnacentral:rRNA from 1 species
AUUGAACGCUGGCGGCAGGCUUAACACAUGCAAGUCGAGCGGGGUGAUGGGGCUUGCACUAUCACUUAGCGGCGGACAGGUGAGUAAUGCUUAGGAAUCUGCCUACUAGUGGGGGACGACAUCUCGAAAGGGAUGCUAAUACCGCAUACGUCCUACGGGAGAAAGCAGGGGAUCACUUGUGACCUUGCGCUAAUAGAUGAGCCUAAGUCGGAUUAGCUGGUUGGUGGGGUAAAGGCAUACCAAGGCGACGAUCUGUAGCGGGUCUGAGAGGAUCAUCCGCCACACUGGGACUGAGACACGGCCCAGACUCCUACGGGAGGCAGCAGUGGGGAAUAUUGGACAAUGGGGGGAACCCUGAUCCAGCCAUGCCGCGUGUGUGAAGAAGGCCUUAUGGUUGUAAAGCACUUUAAGCGAGGAGGAGGCUCUUUUGGUUAAUACCCAAGAUGAGUGGACGUUACUCGCAGAAUAAGCACCGGCUAACUCUGUGCCAGCCGCCGCAGUAA